rnacentral:lncRNA from 1 species
UCAUUAUGAAAGUUAAUAAAUUUACCCUUGAAUUGGAUGAAUUUCCUCAAAUUAAUUUUUUUUUACCCAGAUUCUCUUAAAUUAAUCGUUUUCAAUUUUACCCAAUCCAUACAUACCUAAUUAAAUUACUGUAGAGCUUUAGAUAUCACUAUUACAUAAUUAACCUGAUUCAUACAUUUUUUUUUCUCGUAGGUUCUUGACGUGGUUUCCAGGUGUUGUAAUUUCUAAUAUGAGAUUGCUCUGGUGGUUGCUCUGGUGGUUCAAAAUAUUCUUUUCUUGUUCUGUCCCACUUCCGCUUAGUUUUAGGUUGCAAAAUUGUAAAUCUUUACAUUGUACCUUGAAGCUUUCAUUUCCCAAUAAGUGAUGAGAAAUUGUCAAUCAUUAAUGUUUUACAUGCAUUGCAUGUGUUUGUUUUUCUUAGCCUUAACUUGUCAUAUAUCGAAAAGAAAACUCUGCAGUAUUUGUGGAGGAUAGAAUUUUCAAGUUGUCAUUUUUUCUUGGAUAUACGACUUCUUAGACAAAACAUAUUUGUAGCUUUUGAUAGAUUGAUUGUUGGUUUCUUUAUGCUCUGGCUCGUGGUAUUGUCAGUUAGAUUACUGUUGUUCAUAGCCAGACAAAUAAUUAGUGUAGAGCUUUAGAUAUCAUUGUUUUAAAAAAAUUAGUGUGUAGGUCGAGAAAGAUUGGUUGUCAAUACGUGAAAUUUG